AAAAGAUUUAGAACUCUUAGCUCCUUCUCCAGCAUUAUGUCUUCCUGGACGCUGUCAUGUUUCCCACCAUGGUGAUAAUGGUUAUCAUGGCCUUAGUUAUGGUGUCUCCACAGCAGCCAAGCCCUAAGACAGCCUGCAAUGCUGCCUGCUCCUUUACAAGGGUUUGAGCUGCAAGUCAGCACCCAAGAACGGCACCUCUCCUGAAGCAGGUCUACACCCAACCAGCCUGUGUGUUAGUAACUCUUAUUGUCACUGUGACAAAAUGCCUGACAGAAGUGACCUGAGCGAGGGAGGUUAUCCAGGCUCAGUUUCAGGGGAGCUCAGGUGAGAGUGGUGGCUGGAUGUUCACACUGCAGCAGGCAGGAUGCAGAGGAAGCAGGCCAGACCACAAGUGGGAAUUGUCUUCACAGGCCCGGCUCCAGUGAUCUCAUCCCCACCAUCUAGGCCUCAUGUCCCGAUGGUGCCACAUCUCCCAGAACAGUGCCAUCUGAGCCUCAGUACACACUCCAGACCCACAAUCUCCACACACUGCACACCCACAAUCUCCACACACUGCAGACCCACAAUCUCCACACACUCCAGACCCCAAUCUCCACACACUGCAGACCCACAAUCUCCACACACUGCACACCCACAAUCUCCACACACUGCAGACCCACAGUCCCCCAGAGCAGUGCCAUCUGAGCCUGCAGUACACACUCCAGACUUAAACCAUACGGCGUCCCAGCUGAAAAUACCUGCAGUGGAAAGUGC
rnacentral:lncRNA from 1 species